UUCAACGGAAAUGAAUGUUAUUGAAACCAAUUAGCAUAGACUGGAAAAUCUCUCACUAAUGAGGGGAGUGUGGAUGGUCCAUCCACCGUUGUUUUCCUGUCUUCCAGCUGAGAGUACCUGCCACACAUCAUCUCCGAUCCCUCUGCCGCCGUCAAGCCAGCUCUGAUGGUCUGGUGUGAGCAGAAAAAUCAGCAACAAUAAAAGAACAAGCGAAAAGUACAGAUCCUAAAACUGCCCUGAGAAUGUGCCUGGGAGGUGUGGAAGGAGAGGUUGGCACCACGCAGAGAAAAAACCAGCAAGCCCCUUCCCACAGAGUUCAUCUCUAGGCUUUGGGAGUCAUUUUGGGAUCAGAGAAAAAAACCCAUUUUGAAGCUCCCCCGAACAACGUCUGCACUGCCUGGCCUUGCAGAGGACCAAUCCGCCUUUAUCAGGGAAGGUCAUUCCUGUUGUCCGCAACGCAAAGCCUGAUGUACACAGAGGAGCCAAGACUCAAAGACCAAACAAGUUUGGUUUGUUAUUUCCUCAGAGAUUAGAAACGACCGACCUCAAGAAACCACCAGAAUGCUGCUAGAAGCUUCCAUUUCAAAGAAACGAUGUGGUGUUGGUAAUGGACAGAUCUAAAGAGACAGCCAGUAUUAUUCUGACCUGUGAUAUAUUAUUUCUGUUUCUGAUGUGCUCUUUAAGAAGAAGAAAACAUCCACUUCUACUUCCCUUUAACUCCCUACAACUGUACUGACUCCACUUAGUAAUCAAAACAGCCUUAAAACCACAUGCCUCAUUAUUUCACAGCU